CCUGGUGGCAGACGGGUGAGUAACACGUGGGCAACCUACCGUAGAUGGGGGAUAACUAACCGAAAGGUUAGCUAAUACCGCAUGAAACGUGCUGUGGCAUCACAGAACGUUAAAAGGAGCAAUCCGCUUUAUAACGGGCCCGCGUCCGAUUAGCUAGUUGGUGGGGUAACGGCCUACCAAGGCUCCGAUCGGUAGCUGGUUUGAGAGAGCGACCAGCCACACUGGGACUGAGAAACGGCCCAG
rnacentral:rRNA from 1 species